UACAGAGGUGGCAAGCGUUGUUCGGAAUUACUGGGCGUAAAGGGCGCGUAGGCGGUUCGUUAAGUCCUGUGUGAAAUCCCCCGGCUCAACUGGGGAACUGCGCAGGAAACUAGCGGGCUUGAGUUCGGGAGAGGGAAGCGGAAUUUCGGGUGUAGCGGUGAAAUGCGUAGAUAUCCGGAGGAACACCGGUGGCGAAGGCGGCUUCCUGGACCGACACUGACGCUGAGGCGCGAAAGCUAGGGAAGCAAACGGG
rnacentral:rRNA from 1 species